rnacentral:rRNA from 1 species
AUGGCAGGUGAAGCACCACCUUUACUAUUACUAGCAACCAUCCAGGAAGACGAUGAGCUAGCGAGCAAAUCAAUGAAGAGCGGAGGAGUAGAAAGCAGCAGGUGCGAGGUGGAGGCCAUGGGCAUCAACUACCACAUCGCCGUCUCCGCCCGGCCUCUCCCGCUCAGCUCAAGAUAUGGAGCAGGCUCGACGACCUCCUCCUCGACGCCGCCGGCGACCCUGCUGUCAGGCGGCCGCCGCCGGUGA